GAUUGAUGGUGCUUGCACCUGAUUGAUUUUGGUCGCCAACGAGUGGCGGACGGGUGAGUAACACGUAGGUAACCUGCCCAGAAGCGGGGGACAACAUUUGGAAACAGAUGCUAAUACCGCAUAACAGCGUUGUUCGCAUGAACAACGCUUAAAAGAUGGCUUCUCGCUAUCACUUCUGGAUGGACCUGCGGUGCAUUAGCUUGUUGGUGGGGUAACGGCCUACCAAGGCGAUGAUGCAUAGCCGAGUUGAGAGACUGAUCGGCCACAAUGGGACUGAGACACGGCCCAUACUCCUACGGGAGGCAGCAGUAGGGAAUCUUCCACAAUGGGCGCAAGCCUGAUGGAGCAACACCGCGUGAGUGAAGAAGGGUUUCGGCUCGUAAAGCUCUGUUGUUAAAGAAGAACACGUAUGAGAGUAACUGUUCAUACGUUGACGGUAUUUAACCAGAAAGUCACGGCUAACUACGUGCCAGCAGCCGCGGUAAUACGUAGGUGGCAAGCGUUAUCCGGAUUUAUUGGGCGUAAAGAGAGUGCAGGCGGUUUUCUAAGUCUGAUGUGAAAGCCUUCGGCUUAACCGGAGAAGUGCAUCGGAAACUGGAUAACUUGAGUGCAGAAGAGGGUAGUGGAACUCCAUGUGUAGCGGUGGAAUGCGUAGAUAUAUGGAAGAACACCAGUGGCGAAGGCGGCUACCUGGUCUGCAACUGACGCUGAGACUCGAAAGCAUGGGUAGCGAACAGGAUUAGAUACCCUGGUAGUCCAUGCCGUAAACGAUGAGUGCUAGGUGUUGGAGGGUUUCCGCCCUUCAGUGCCGGAGCUAACGCAUUAAGCACUCCGCCUGGGGAGUACGACCGCAAGGUUGAAACUCAAAGGAAUUGACGGGGGCCCGCACAAGCGGUGGAGCAUGUGGUUUAAUUCGAAGCUACGCGAAGAACCUUACCAGGUCUUGACAUCUUGCGCCAACCCUAGAGAUAGGGCGUUUCCUUCGGGAACGCAAUGACAGGUGGUGCAUGGUCGUCGUCAGCUCGUGUCGUGAGAUGUUGGGUUAAGUCCCGCAACGAGCGCAACCCUUGUUACUAGUUGCCAGCAUUAAGUUGGGCACUCUAGUGAGACUGCCGGUGACAAACCGGAGGAAGGUGGGGACGACGUCAGAUCAUCAUGCCCCUUAUGACCUGGGCUACACACGUGCUACAAUGGACGGUACAACGAGUCGCGAACUCGCGAGGGCAAGCAAAUCUCUUAAAACCGUUCUCAGUUCGGACUGCAGGCUGCAACUCGCCUGCACGAAGUCGGAAUCGCUAGUAAUCGCGGAUCAGCAUGCCGCGGUGAAUACGUUCCCGGGCCUUGUACACACCGCCCGUCACACCAUGAGAGUUUGUAACACCCAAAGUCGGUGGG
rnacentral:rRNA from 2 species